rnacentral:lncRNA from 1 species
UAAUUUAUUUUAUAAAUAUAAAUCAUAGGAUAACUCAAAAAAUAUUAAAAUUGAAAAUAAAAUAUUAACCAACUGUUACAAUUUAGUUCUUUUGUAAAAUUUAUAUAUAUAAAUGAGACUUCAGAAUAUUAUCGUUUCAUUACAUUAAUUUAUGUAAUUUGGAAUCAUACACUUUAGUUUAUUUUUAUAUUUCAUUCUAAGCACAAUAUAUCUUAAGUUAUACAUAAUCUUCAUAAAAUAUAUUUAUAUAUCUAAGAUAACAACCACCUAAAUGUAAAUAAGAAAUUAAACAAAAUUUUAAUAUAUAAAAUAAAAAAUAUUACAGUUGAAUUCAUAUAUGCAAUCUAAUUUACCCAAAUGAUAACUAAAUCGACUAAAAAAACAACAAAACCGUGGCCCCUUAACUCUAAAUCCUAAGUCUAGAUUAGUUAACCCUAGGGUAAAAAUACAUUUUUACCUUUUAAUAAAACCUACUUUGGUCAUUUUCUUCAUUGAGGGCUAUUUUGUGAUAAAAACUUAAAAAAAUUUAUCCUAGGGAAUUUCUCUAUAUUUUAUAAUGUUUCUGUCUAAACAUGUAUUUAUUUUUAAAAAAAUCCCAAUA